CAUGGAUCCCCCAAUAGCAACUGCAGAUUAAGCCAACAGGCAGGCUGCUGAUAGAACCUGCUCCCCUUCUUACCUUGGAAUGCCCACACAGGGCUGUGAGGGACCAACCAAAUAUGAAGCUGUUGAUUUCUCCAAAAUAACCAUCAAAAGUCUGAUGAGAUAAAGAGCACACUGGAAACUGGGAAUGCUUUGAUGGAAAUUCUGCAAGUAAUGGACGCUCUGGCUUGCCUUGGUGACUGUCAAAUAAAAGCAAGUAUAUACUCAGUUCUCUCCACACUUCCCACAUACUUACCAAGCAAAAAGCCCAUGAAAAAUCUGCAGCAGCCUCUGAUAGCAGGAAGACAUUAUGUGGUACUCCUGAACUUUCACUCCUGGUCCAUCAACUACACCGUGAUUCUCAGCAGCUAAACACUAAAAAUAAAAAUGAUUUUAGGACA
rnacentral:lncRNA from 1 species